rnacentral:lncRNA from 1 species
UAUAAAGAUUGAAUUGUUCAAAUGGGAUACAAAGUUAGCCAAAUAAUACAGAGCAAAGUCUGGUAUCGCCAUUUUGUAACACAGUCAAUGAAAAAAACUAAAUCUUGUUUGCAAGUAGAGCAUCAUGGCAACGAGCUGAGCUGAAACCCGAGGCUCGGGCUCGGGCUCGGGCUCAAGUAAAAUUAAUAGGGGCCUUUUUUGGCCUGAGCCGAGCAAAAGCUCAACCAAAAAUUUGAGGCUCGACGGGCCUUGUCGAGCCGAGUCGGCUCGAUUUUAUUGUUUUUUAAAACAAGCUGACCAGUCGAGCCACGGGCUGGCUAGAGCUCAGCCCGUAACCCAAAAUGGAGCUCAAUUCUAUCGAGCCUCAAGCUGGGCCGGCUCGGGCUCUUUUCGGGCUGAGCCACUACCGUCCCGAGCCGACGAGGCGAAUUGCCAUCCCUACUCAUGGUUGAGUCUUCCUACAAAAGAUAACAAAUAUCACCAAGAUUAUUGAAUUGAACUCGAUGACAUGCUUUUCACACUAACAUAUAGAUGCCUUACUUUGUAACUUUAAGUGCCAUUUUUCAAAUCAAUUUUUCUACAAGUACAGAAAAAUCGAUAGAAUUCUUAUAUAAAAACACCUAGUAGUUUUUCAUUAGUUUUUGAAACGACAAACACAGAAUUGCACCACACAAAUUCCUUGUAAUUGUGGAAUUAACCUUUUCAAAUUGCAUUGGGUGCUUUUGAAGAGCUCUAUAAAAUUUUGGUUUCUUGCAGGCAUAUACAGAAUCACAUUAUGGGCAAGUCGCAACAUUUUUUUCUUGUAGCAGUAAUCUAACAGUGCUUAACAUAAGACAAUGCGAUAAAAUUUGUAGGAUUGACCUAAAACAAAAGUUGAGAGUGAUAAACAACCCUGAGCAUUGUCGAUGGGAACAAGAUUGAGAUAAUUGCUCGUGUUACUUGCAGUAGUACUGGUCAUAAUUGUCGAUUAUACAUUGAAUAACUCAAAUGGUACUUCAAAAAUUUUAGGGUGCAUUUGAUUGUAAGCAUGUAAUUUACAUGGAAAGAAAAUAAAUUUGAAGUAUUUACAUGGAAUUAGGGCCUGCUUGGAGUUUCCUUAUCAUAACCGUAAUUUAAAGUAUCAAUUAAAGUGUUUUUUUAAAGUUUUUGAGCGAUUUUUUGUAAGGGAAAUUGUAGCCAACGUACCGAAUCUUUUUUUUACUAACAAACUU